UACGUAGGGUGCGAGCGUUGUCCGGAAUCACUGGGCGUAAAGGGCUCGUAGGCGGCGCGUCCAGUCGGUCGUGAAAGUCCGGAGCUCAACUCCGGAUCGGCGGUCGAUACUCUCGUGCUUGAGCACUGUAGAGGCAGGUGGAAUUCCGGGUGUAGCGGUGGAAUGCGUAGAGAUCCGGAAGAACACCGGUGGCGAAGGCGGACUGCUGGGCAGUAGCUGACGCUGAUGCGCGAAAGCGUGGGGAGCAAACAGG
rnacentral:rRNA from 1 species